GGUACAGAAUGACUGCAUCGAGGCAGAACAACACGAGUUAUUGGGUGGUACCAUUCACAUCCCCAUAUUACUGUUCUUCCUUCUCAUGUUGAUGUCCGGACUCAGGCAAUGUAUCAACUUCUAGAUUCUGGAUUUAUUGGGCUCAUAUUUUCUUGUUUUAGUGAAGAUACAAACAAGGUGGGAAGAAUACAAGUCAUUGCUUUUCAGUCAUUGCUUUAUCACCACUGAAUAGAAGCUCAGUUAUCGAUCUGGAGUUAUCUCUAAGCUCUUCUGAAAAUCCAUUGUUGACAUCUGGAUCUGCAGAAGUAGAUAGUCACAUGCAAGACACCAGUGAUUCCAGACCAGUUCAAGGAUCUGCCAAGGUGCAAUUUAUGAUUGUUGAAGUUAAAAUUUGUCAUAUAUCUUGUUACCGUAUCAGGGCUCUUAAACGAGCGAAAGUGAGGAGAUAAGUAAUGCUUUAGAUGAUGGAAUGGAACAUCUUUGUGUAUUAUGCUGCACAAAUUUUAGUUUCCAUAAACAAAGUGCUUCUUUAGAUUUGUUGUUACUUUGCUUAACUUUUCUUUCUUAGUGAUUGCUCUAAUUUCCUCUGAGAA